rnacentral:rRNA from 1 species
UCUACCUAGUAGUGGGGGAUAGCACGGGGAAACUCGUAUUAAUACCGCAUACGACCUACGGGAGAAAGGGGGCAGUUUACUGCUCUCGCUAUUAGAUGAGCCUAAGUCGGAUUAGCUAGAUGGUGGGGUAAAGGCCUACCAUGGCGACGAUCUGUAGCUGGUCUGAGAGGAUGAUCAGCCACACCGGGACUGAGACACGGCCCGGACUCCUACGGGAGGCAGCAGUGGGGAAUAUUGGACAAUGGGGGAAACCCUGAUCCAGCCAUGCCGCGUGUGUGAAGAAGGCCUUUUGGUUGUAAAGCACUUUAAGCAGUGAAGAAGACUCCAUGGUUAAUACCCAUGGACGAUGACAUUAGCUGCAGAAUAAGCACCGGCUAACUCUGUGCCAGCAGCCGCGGUAAUACAGAGGGUGCAAGCGUUAAUCGGAAUUACUGGGCGUAAAGGGAGCGUAGGUGGCUCUAUAAGUCAGAUGUGAAAUCCCCGGGCUUAACCUGGGAACUGCAUCUGAAACUGUAGAGCUAGAGUAUGUGAGAGGAAGGUAGAAUUCCAGGUGUAGCGGUGAAAUGCGUAGAGAUCUGGAGGAAUACCGAUGGCGAAGGCAGCCUUCUGGCAUAAUACUGACACUGAGGCUCGAAAGCGUGGGUAGCAAACAGGAUUAGAUACCCUGGUAGUCCACGCCGUAAACGAUGUCUACUAGUCGUUGGGUCCCUUGAGGACUUAGUGACGCAGCUAACGCAAUAAGUAGACCGCCUGGGGAGUACGGCCGCAAGGUUAAAACUCAAAUGAAUUGACGGGGGCCCGCACAAGCGGUGGAGCAUGUGGUUUAAUUCGAUGCAACGCGAAGAACCUUACCUGGUCUUGACAUAUCUAGAAUCCUGCAGAGAUGCGGGAGUGCCUUCGGGAAUUAGAAUACAGGUGCUGCAUGGCUGUCGUCAGCUCGUGUCGUGAGAUGUUGGGUUAAGUCCCGCAACGAGCGCAACCCUUGUCCUUAGUUACCAGCGGGUUAAGCCGGGAACUCUAAGGAUACUGCCAGUGACAAACUGGAGGAAGGCGGGGACGACGUCAAGUCAUCAUGGCCCUUACGACCAGGGCUACACACGUGCUACAAUGGUAGGUACAGAGGGCAGCUACACAGCGAUGUGAUGCGAAUCUCAAAAAGCCUAUCGUAGUCCAGAUUGGAGUCUGCAACUCGACUCCAUGAAGUAGGAAUCGCUAGUAAUCGCGGAUCAGAAUGCCGCGGUGAAUACGUUCCCGGGCCUUGUACACAC